GAUACUAUUGAAAAGGAGAACUACUUCUUGGCUAAAUAUACAUACAGCAAAGGAAACCUGAAGGCACAAAUACUUAAAAAUGGCUACCGAGGGGCUGAUAUUCUGAAGUACAACAAAAUUACGAUUCUUGGCCUGAAACUGAGACCUCAUGCUGUUGCUCUGAAUGGAGAAGCCAUCCAUGGAGAUGCUUUCUCUUAUGAGCUGAGAGGGAAACUCACUAUAUGGAUUUCUGCCCCACUUACUCGGGAACUCAACGUUAUGAUUUACUAGAAUGAUCAGAAAACACUGACAUAGUUUAGCAUCCUUGGCUGUUAGAUAUUGACCUUACUUUGAUUUUAAUGUCAAAAAAAUAUUUAGCCAUUAAAACAUUCCUUGGUUAUGUAUUUGAUGACUGUUCUUUUCCUAUGUAGUAUUUGUAGUAUUCCUCAGAUAAAAUU